CAAAGACUCGGUAAGUCGUAAAACUAGCCCUGGUCGGGAUGGUCUUUAGACCCCUGCGUUUCUUAGUUCGUAAAACUAAGUGGUGGAGUCAAUUU
rnacentral:ncRNA from 1 species